rnacentral:rRNA from 1 species
AAUAUUGGACAAUGGGGGGAACCCUGAUCCAGCAAUGCCGCGUGUGUGAAGAAGGCCUGAGGGUUGUAAAGCACUUUCAGUGGGGAGGAGGAUUGUUUGGUUAAGAGCUGAAUGAUUGGACGUUACCCACAGAAGAAGCACCGGCUAACUCCGUGCCAGCAGCCGCGGUAAUACGGAGGGUGCAAGCGUUAAUCGGAAUUACUGGGCGUAAAGGGUGCGUAGGUUGUUUGAUAAGUUAUCUGUAAAAUCCCCGGGCUUAACCUGGGCAGGUCAGAUAAGACUGUUGAACUCGAGUAUGGGAGAGGGUAGUGGAAUUUCCGGUGUAGCGGUGAAAUGCGUAGAGAUCGGAAGGAACACCAGUGGCGAAGGCGGCUACCUGGCCUAAUACUGACACUGAGGCACGAAAGCGUGGGGAGCAAACAGG